UACGUAGGAGACGAGCGUUGUCCGGAAUCACUGGGCGUAAAGCGCGUGUAGGCGGAUGGGCAAGUCUGCUGUGAAAGGCUCUGGCUUAACCGGAGCAGGUCGGUGGAAACUGCCAAUCUGGAGGACGGUAGAGGUGGGUGGAAUUCCCGGUGUAGUGGUGAAAUGCGUAGAGAUCGGGAGGAACACCUGUGGCGAAGGCGGCCCACUGGGCCGGACCUGACGCUGAGACGCGAAGGCGUGGGGAGCGAACGGG
rnacentral:rRNA from 1 species